rnacentral:tRNA from 1 species
GGGCUGGUGGUCUAGGGGUAUGAUACCUCCCUUACAAGGAGGGGAUCAGGAGUUCAAAUCUCCUUCGGCCCA